AGCUCCAAUAGCGUAUAUUAAAGUUGUUGCAGUUAAAAAGCUCGUAGUUGAACCUCGGGCCAGGGAAAUGGGUCGCCUUCGGGUUGUACUCUUUUCUCUGGUCUUCCUUCUAGCGAACUAUUGUGCCAUUCAUUUGGUGCGAUAGGGAACUAGGACUUUUACUUUGAAAAAAUUAGAGUGUUUAAAGCAGGCAAUCGCUUGAAUACAUUAGCAUGGAAUAAUAAAAUAGGACUUUGGUUUUAUUU
rnacentral:rRNA from 1 species